rnacentral:rRNA from 1 species
GAGUUUGAUCAUGGCUCAGAUUGAACGCUGGCGGCAUGCCUUACACAUGCAAGUCGAACGGCAGCAUGAUCUAGCUUGCUAGAUUGAUGGCGAGUGGCGAACGGGUGAGUAAUACAUCGGAACGUGCCUUGUAGUGGGGGAUAACUAGUCGAAAGAUUAGCUAAUACCGCAUACGACCUGAGGGUGAAAGUGGGGGACCGCAAGGCCUCAUGCUAUAGGAGCGGCCGAUGUCUGAUUAGCUAGUUGGUGGGGUAAAGGCCCACCAAGGCGACGAUCAGUAGCUGGUCUGAGAGGACGAUCAGCCACACUGGGGCUGAGACACGGCCCAGACUCCUACGGGAGGCAGCAGUGGGGAAUUUUGGACAAUGGGCGAAAGCCUGAUCCAGCAAUGCCGCGUGUGUGAAGAAGGCCU